rnacentral:rRNA from 1 species
UGUGUAGGCGGCGCCGUAAGUCAGGUGUGAAAUUUCGAGGCUUAACCUCGAAACUGCAUUUGAUACUGCGGUGCUUGAGGACUGGAGAGGAGACUGGAAUUUACGGUGUAGCGGUGAAAUGCGUAGAUAUCGUAAGGAAGACCAGUGGCGAAGGCGGGUCUCUGGACAGUUCCUGACGCUGAGACACGAAGGCCAGGGAGCAAACG